UGGCCAUCACUUCCCCAUGCAGCCACCCUGGCCCUAUCCCUAACCCAGCUUCUUCUCAUCCAAGCCCUGUCCCGUACCCACAGCACAGAACCAAGAGGUUUUCCUGUAGCUUGACAGCUGCAAGCCACACUGCUGACAGCAGUCCUGGUGGGCUUUCUGGAAGAGGAGGACUUGCCUGAAGCUAACUGCUCUGUGUUUUUGGAGACUGGAGGGUCAGAAGGUUGUAAACCAUCUUACCAGACCCAGACUGCUUCGAAUCAGCAUUGCAUAGAGGUUUCCUCACACCGUCACUUAUGUUUACAAAUGAGGAAACCAAGGCCACCGGAGGUCAAGGACAUUACCUUCCACAUGAGUUCUUCAGGGUGGCAGUGGCACCGAGUGUACCAUGGCCUCGUCCUGGCACUAAUGGGGGCCUCCAGGCCUGGGCAGGUUUCCUUUGGGAGUUACAGCCUCUAUAUGAGGCUCAAAGCAGAACCCCUGCCCCCAGCUCACCCUGGCAGCCUCAUCCUGCUCCCCUCUGCCCUAGCUCUGCCCCCAGGCCACUGCCCCCCACCUCGAGACUCAGCCCUCCUCCACCCUUGACACUGACCCUGAGGAACCCCAAGAAACUUAGCCACAUACAAUAUUCCCAUCUCCCACCUCCCCCCACAUACACCCUUUGACAAGGGCCACCCUGUGGGCAGGGAAGUGCCGCCAAGGCCCCUCCUCUUCACCAAGGCCCGCCCCUUCAUCCAG